rnacentral:rRNA from 1 species
AGUGAACGCUGGCGGUAGGCCUAACACAUGCAAGUCGAACGGCAGCACAGUAAGAGCUUGCUCUUACGGGUGGCGAGUGGCGGACGGGUGAGGAAUACAUCGGAAUCUACUUUUUCGUGGGGGAUAACGUAGGGAAACUUACGCUAAUACCGCAUACGACCUACGGGUGAAAGCAGUGGAUCUUCGGACCUUGCGCGAUUGAAUGAGCCGAUGUCGGAUUAGCUAGUUGGCGGGGUAAAGGCCCACCAAGGCGACGAUCCGUAGCUGGUCUGAGAGGAUGAUCAGCCACACUGGAACUGAGACAAGGUCCAGACUCCUAAGGGAGGCCGCAGUGGGGAAUAUUGGAGAAUGGGCGCAAGCCUGGUCCAGCCAUACCGGGGGGGUGAAGAAGGCUUUCGGGUUGUAAAGCCUUUUUGUUGGGAAAGAAAAGAAGCAGGUUAAUACCCCGCUGUUCUGACGGUAACCAAAGCAUAAGCACAGGCUAAAUUCGUG